UCGAACGCCCCGCAAGGGGAGUGGCAGACGGGUGAGUAACGCGUGGGAACGUGCCCCAAGGUACGGAACAACUCCGGGAAACUGGGGCUAAUACCGUAUGUGCCCGAGAGGGGAAAGAUUUAUCGCCUUGGGAUCGGCCCGCGUCUGAUUAGCUAGUUGGUAGGGUAACGGCCUACCAAGGCUACGAUCAGUAGCUGGUCUGAGAGGAUGGCCAGCCACACUGGGACUGAGACACGGCCCAGACUCCUACGGGAGGCAGCAGUGGGGAAUAUUGGACAAUGGGCGAAAGCCUGAUCCAGCCAUGCCGCGUGAGUGAUGAAGGCCUUAGGGUUGUAAAGCUCUUUCGGCGGGGACGAUAAUGACGGUACCCGCAGAAGAAGCCCCGGCUAACUUCGUGCCAGCAGCCGCGGUAAUACGAAGGGGGCUAGCGUUGUUCGGAAUUACUGGGCGUAAAGCGUAUGUAGGCGGAUCGUUAAGUCGGGGGUGAAAUCCCGAGGCUCAACCUCGGAACUGCCUUCGAUACUGGCGAUCU
rnacentral:rRNA from 1 species